rnacentral:misc_RNA from 1 species
CCGUCAAUUCAUUUAAGUUUUAGCCUUGCGGCCGUACUCCCCAGGCGGGGCGCUUAAUGCGUUAGCUACGACACAGAAACCGUGGAAAGGUCCCUACAUCUAGCGCCCAACGUUUACGGCGUGGACUACCAGGGUAUCUAAUCCUGUUCGCUCCCCACGCUUUCGCUCCUCAGCGUCAGUUACGGCCCAGAGAUCUGCCUUCGCCAUCGGUGUUCCUCCUGAUAUCUGCGCAUUCCACCGCUACACCAGGAAUUCCAAUCUCCCCUACCGCACUCUAGUCUGCCCGUACCCACUGCAAGCCCGAGGUUGAGCCUCGGGAUUUCACAGCAGACGCGACAAACCGCCUACGAGCUCUUUACGCCCAAUAAUUCCGGACAACGCUUGCACCCUACGUAUUACC